UACAGAGGUCUCAAGCGUUGUUCGGAUCCAUUGGGCGUAAAGGGUGCGUAGGUGGCGCUGUAAGUCGGGUGUGAAAUUUCGGAGCUUAACUCCGAAACUGCAUUCGAUACUGCGGUGCUUGAGGACUGGAGAGGAGACUGGAAUUCAUGGUGUAGCAGUGAAAUGCGUAGAGAUCAUGAGGAAGACCACUGGUGGCAAGGCGGCUCUGGACCAGUCCUGACACUGAGGACGAAGCCAGGGGAGCAAACGGG
rnacentral:rRNA from 1 species